rnacentral:rRNA from 1 species
UACGUAGGGGGCAAGCGUUGUCCGGAAUCACUGGGCGUAAAGCGCGCGCAGGCGGUGAUGUAAGUCUGGGGUGAAAACCCGGAGCUCAACUCCGGGAUGGCCUUGGAUACUGUGUCACUUGAGAACUUGAGAGGCAAGGGGAAUUCCACGUGUAGCGGUGAAAUGCGUAGAGAUGUGGAGGAACACCUGUGGCGAAGGCGCCUUGCUGGCAAGUCACUGACGCUGAGGCGCGAAAGCGUGGGGAGCAAACAGG